GGUAACCUACCCUGUACACACGGAUAACAUACCGAAAGGUAUGCUAAUACGGGAUAAUAUAUUUGAGAGGCAUCUCUUAAAUAUCAAAGGUGAGCCAGUACAGGAUGGACCCGCGUCUGAUUAGCUAGUUGGUAAGGUAACGGCUUACCAAGGCGACGAUCAGUAGCCGACCUGAGAGGGUGAUCGGCCACAUUGGAACUGAGACACGGUCCAAACUCCUACGGGAGGCAGCAGUGGGGAAUAUUGCACAAUGGGCGAAAGCCUGAUGCAGCAACGCCGCGUGAGUGAUGAAGGCCUUCGGGUCGUAAAACUCUGUCCUCAAGGAAGAUAAUGACGGUACUUGAGGAGGAAGCCCCGGCUAACUACGUGCCAGCAGCCGCGGUAAUACGUAGGGGGCUAGCGUUAUCCGGAUUUACUGGGCGUAAAGGGUGCGUAGGCGGUCUUUCAAGUCAGGAGUGAAAGGCUACGGCUCAACCGUAGUAAGCUCUUGAAACUGGGAGACUUGAGUGCAGGAGAGGAGAGUGGAAUUCCUAGUGUAGCGAUGAAAUGCGUAGAUAUUAGGAGGAACACCAGUUGCGAAGGCGGCUCUCUGGACUGUAACUGACGCUGAGGCACGAAAGCGUGGGGAGCAAACAGGAUUAGAUACCCUGGUAGUCCACGCUGUAAAC
rnacentral:rRNA from 1 species